GGUGCUGCAUGGCUGUCGUCAGCUCGUGUCGUGAGAUGUUGGGUUAAGUCCCGCAACGAGCGCAACCCUUGUCAUUAGUUGCUACGCAAGAGCACUCUAAUGAGACUGCCGGUGACAAACCGGAGGAAGGUGGGGAUGACGUCAAGUCCUCAUGGCCCUUAUGGGUAGGGCUUCACACGUCAUACAAUGGUCGGGACAGAGGGUCGCCAACCCGCGAGGGGGAGCCAAUCUCAGAAACCCGAUCGUAGUCCGGAUCGCAGUCUGCAACUCGACUGCGUGAAGUCGGAAUCGCUAGUAAUCGCGGAUCAGAAUGUCGCGGUGAAUACGUUCCCGGGUCUUGUACACACCGCCCGUCACACCAUGGGAGUGGGUUUCACCAGAAGUAGGUAGCCUAACCGUAAGGAGGGCGCUUACCACGGUGGGAUUCAUGAGUGGGGUG
rnacentral:rRNA from 1 species